rnacentral:rRNA from 1 species
UACGAAGGGGGCUAGCGUUGCUCGGAAUUACUGGGCGUAAAGGGCGCGUAGGCGGCACUGUUAGUCAGGCGUGAAAGUCCUGGGCUCAACCUGGGAACUGCGCUUGAUACGGCAGAGCUAGAGGAUGGAAGAGGCUCGCGGAAUUCCCAGUGUAGAGGUGAAAUUCGUAGAUAUUGGGAAGAACCCCGGUGGCGAAAGCGGCGAGCUGGUCCAUUACUGACGCUGAGGCGCGACAGCGUGGGGAGCAAACAGG